CCUACGGGAGGCAGCAGUGGGGAAUAUUGCACAAUGGGGGAAACCCUGAUGCAGCGACGCAGCGUGAGUGAAGAAGUAUUUCGGUAUGUAAAGCUCUAUCAGCAGGGAAGAAGAAAGACGGUACCUGACUCAGACGCACCGGCUAACUAAGUGCCAGCAGCCGCGGUAAUACGUAGGGGGAAAGCGUUAUCCGGAUUUACUGGGUGGAAAGGGAGCGUCGCCGGCUGUGCAAGUCUGAAGUGAAAGCCCAGGGCUCAAACCUGGGAUCGCUUUGGAACCGGUGGAGCUAGGGUGCUGGAGAGGUAAGUGGAAUUCCUAGUGUAGAGGUGGAAUGCGUCGAUAUUAGGUGGAACACCAGUGGCGAAGGCGUCUUACUGGACAGUAAGUGACGUUGAGGCUCGAAAGCGUGGGGAGCAAACAGGAUUAGAUACCCGGGUAGUC
rnacentral:rRNA from 1 species